rnacentral:rRNA from 1 species
UACGGGGGGGCAAGCGUUGUUCGGAAUUACUGGGCGUAAAGGGCGCGUAGGCGGCCUGCUAAGUCACACGUGAAAUCCCUCGGCUCAACCGGGGAACUGCGUGUGAUACUGGCGGGCUUGGAAUUCGGGAGAGGGAUGGUGGAAUUCCAGGUGUAGCGGUGAAAUGCGUAGAUAUCUGGAGGAACACCGGUGGCGAAGGCGGCAUCCUGGACCGAGAU